rnacentral:rRNA from 1 species
CCUACGGGAGGCAGCAGUGAGGAAUCUUGGUCAAUGGACGAGAGUCUGAACCAGCCAAGUAGCGUGAAGGAUGACUGCCCUAUGGGUUGUAAACUUCUUUUAUAUGGGAAUAAAAUGUUCCACGUGUCGGAAUUUGUAUGUACCGUAUGAAUACGGAUCGGCUAACUCCGUGCCAGCAGCCGCGGUAAUACGGAGGAUCCGAGCGUUAUCCGGAUUUAUUGGGUUUAAAGGGAGCGUAGGUGGAUUGUUAAGUCAGUUGUGAAAGUGUGCGGCUCAACCGUAAAAUUGCAGUUGAAACUGGCAGUCUUGAGUGCAGUAGAGGUGGGCGGAAUUCGUGGUGUAGCGGUGAAAUGCGUAGAUAUCACGAAGAACUCCGAUUGCGAAGGCAGCUCACUGGACUGCAACUGACACUGAGGCUCGAAAGUGUGGGGAUCAAACAGGAUUAGAUACCCCAGUAGUC